rnacentral:snRNA from 1 species
GUGCUCGCUUUGGCAGCAUAUAUACUAAAACUGGAACGAUACAGAGAAGAUUAGCAUGGCCCCUGUGCAAGGAUGACACACAAAUUUGUGAAGCUUUCCAUAUUAAA